AUUGAACGCUGGCGGCAUGCCUUACACAUGCAAGUCGAACGGCAGCAUGAUCUAGCUUGCUAGAUUGAUGGCGAGUGGCGAACGGGUGAGUAAUACAUCGGAACGUGCCCUGUAGGGGGGGAUAACUAGUCGAAAGAUUAGCUAAUACCGCAUACGACCUGAGGGUGAAAGUGGGGGACCGCAAGGCCCCAUGCUAUAGGAGCGGCCGAUGUCUGAUUGGCUAGUUGGUGAGGUAAAGGCUCACCAAGGCGACGAUCAGUAGCUGGUCUGAGAGGCAGACCAGCCACACUGGGACUGAGACACGGCCCAGACUCCUACGGGAGGCAGCAGUGGGGAAUUUUGGACAAUGGGCGAAAGCCUGAUCCAGCAAUGCCGCGUGUGUGAAGAAGGCCUUCGGUUUGUAAAGCACUUUUGUCCGGAAAGAAAUGGCUCUGGUUAAUACCUGGGGUCGAUGACGGUACCGGAAGAAUAAGGACCGGCUAACUACGUG
rnacentral:rRNA from 1 species